rfam:Allomyces macrogynus ATCC 38327 genomic scaffold supercont3.53, whole genome shotgun sequence.
GACAACAUGGCCGAGUGGUUAAGGCGUCUGACUACUAAUCAGAUACCCUUGUGGUGCGCAGGUUCGAACCCUGCUGUUGUCG